CGGGACAGAAUUCAGUAGCUUCAACCAAGGGUUUGUUUCAGCAUUUGAACAGAUCCAUGGACUUUGCCCUGCCUUAGCUGCUCUGAAGCAUUUUAUGAAGAGGAGCUGGUUCCAUCCGGGCAUAACUUCAAGUGGAACUAGGACGCCGUCAGCUUUCUCAUAAUCUCUAAAGAGGUUUAAUUGCAAAUCUGCCUUUAAACAACAGCUCAGAGCUUCUUCACCCUUCUACACUCUACAGCAAUCUCAGACAGAAGGAGCCAAGAAGAGACAUACUAGAAGGUUGUCUAAAGCAGUGCUUUUCAAACUUGUUUUUACUACAACGUGCAGUAAGGGAUGUAUUCCGCCACAGGUGCUGUGAUAAGAAAUGGCCAUUUUCUUGCCAAGUGUCCCUUGUAGGGCAAUAUCCCUUUAUAGUGUGACAUAAUGUGUUCCUCUUGGAGUUCAAGAAAAGUUGAUUUUCCUGACUGGACACAAAUGUGAUGAUCUAAAAAGAAAAGAUUAUUCCCCUGCUUCAAAUUCUUCCAUGGACCUCCUUGAGCAUCACUUUCAAGUGCUGUGGCUUGCACUUAAGGAUUUUUUUGGAAACUAGGUUAGAUAAAUAUUGCUUAUGUAAUAUUAACAUUUGUAAGUCUCAAAAUACUUCGACAGAAAAAAGAAAAACAUCUAAAGGGUCAAUAAAGAAUGUUGAUCAA